UCUUCUCUUUAUCUUUGCCUCAUGAGAGUAAACACACAGACGAUCGUUUUAUCCCCAAAUGCAGGCAGUUUUCGUCAUAUGCACCGCAAUAAGCUGAGUUAUUCAUCAUUUGAUAACAAGCGAUAAUUUUCUUAUUUUUCUUAUGAAAACAAAAAUGGCUGAAAAAGUCAUCUCUGCCUCUGUGAUUUAUUCUCAAACAAGGAGUACUCAGAGUAAGGAGGAGAGAUGUUGGUCCAGCCCAGAAAGGUUGCUGCUGGCCUCAUGAGUCACCGUUUUCAUUGGGACUCUUAAUGAAAGCAGACUCAGCCUGCCUGACCUCCCCACAUUCCCAUUACCUAUUUAAACAACCUCCCUUAAUUGCUUUAAAAAAUUAAGCUCGUCCUCUGAAUGCUCAUUAAAUGGUACAUUUCAGCUUUAUUUUACGAAGUAACAUGUAUGACUGAGCAACAAUCAAGGAAUAAUUGUAAUAUAUGAUUCCACAUUCGUAAAUUAGACAAAACGUCUACGCUUUAAUUUGCUUUUAUACGUGAAAUAAAAGAUCCCACCACGGCAGCCCUCGCUGCCACGGGUUUUUUGACCUUGUUCUUUCGGCUGUUUACAAAUGCAAAUUACAAAGUUUGAUUUGAGAUUUGAUUUGCUUUCAGCACACAGAUAAAAAAAAGGGCCGCUACUCCGGUUGCAAGGACGUUAGAAGUAGCCGAACCAUUCACUGUGACUGCGGCAGGUUUAAUGAACCCCAAGCCAAAAGGUCUAAUGAAGCGUGCUCCGUUUGCCAAAACAGUCCCUCAGCUUGACCUCCACUGACCUGCGCUCCUCUGUGCCACUUGAAGGUGGGUCUCCAUGGCGACUGGCCUGAAGAGGAGACUGGGCAAAGUUUUCAGAGGAACAAAGAAUGAGCAAACAAAAGCCAGUAAACAAGUUAUCGGAAAUCAGUGCCUCCGUAUCUUUUUCUGGAGUCGGAUUCCUAAGGAUUACAAAUGUUGCUCGUAUCUGCUUCUUUUUCUUAUCCUUAAAAACAAAUCAGUGGUUGACUGAAUUAAGGUUAAAUAGGAAAAGUACUGCUGAUCUCCUGCCAGGAAAACAUUUUUUUCUAACAAGCUCCAUUGCCUUGUCAGCAUCCGAAAAAACCUAAUCACACAAACAAAGCUGCAUGCAGGCACUGCAGUUGUUUAUUUAUUUAUUUAUUUUUAUAAUUCAAGUGAUGCUUAUUAUUUAAAAGAAUAUUUCCUUUAAAAUGCAGUGUGUAGUCAGGGGUAUAAUAGAGUCAAGAAGUGUGUGUGUGCGUGCAUUUGUACUAGUGUGUCAAUGUGUUUGUGUUAACCAUGACUUAAGGACUUAUAAAGUGCAGGGCGCAUAAUUAAACAGUCUUUGUUUAUGCUCGAUAGCGCUGAUAUAAAAACUUAGCUGGCACGGUACGGGGUGGUAUGCUAGGUCACUUUGCUCUCAAUUAAAACCCAACAGACAAAGUGAAUGCAAGUAAACUAAGCAAUCAGCGUAAAAAAAA